AGGCAUAUGUAUGUCCAUAUAAGGAACGAAAUAUGACACGUGUCAGCGCUUGUAUGCAAAUUUUUUGAGCGCGUCGUUUGAAAACUCUUUUGAUCGUAUAUUCAUCGAGAUGUUUAUGCUGCUGUGUUAAAAAGACGUUUUGAGCGUAUUUACUCGACUAUUUUGGUACUUCUAAAUAUCCUAAACAACAACGGGCUCCCAUAAGGAAAUUUCAAGGCAAUUGGUUGUGGUAUUAUCUCAGAAAUAUCUUGAGAAGCCAAAUGACGUAUUCUACUUUACUGCGAUCUCUUCAGCAAGUUGUGGUCAAAGAAAAUAUCAUUGCAAUAAUAGGUAAAGGCAGAAUUUGGCAGUAAAAUGUGCAAGAACUAUUAGUCCAUGGUAUGGUUGGCAAAUUUCAAUCUAUCAAGAGUUGUCAAGAAUGCCAAAUACUGUGCCAAGAAGUUUGUAUUGGUUCUUUCGAACCAGAUAGAAACAACAAACAAGAUUGGCCGCACAGAGAAUCAGGUUGAUGACUCCAUAUACAGAUGACAAAAUACAAAUAAUAAAAAAAUGGCCAUGGAAGAACAUAUGCUGGGAAGUGAGUUUCUGUGGAUAAAUUUAUAAAAGAACUUGACAUUGUUUGUUGAAAAUUGUAAAUAUUUGUCUGGCUAUUUUUGUAAAUAGUCCUGCUGGAGUAAUUGUAAAUAUGCAAUUGUGUCCAAGUUUAAUAUAUUGAUUUUUUGUUUCCUUGUAUAUGUGUCAUUAAUUUUGAUUUAGAUAUGAUUAUACUGAUGUACUGCACAUUAAAUUGCAG